GCUGUAUGCUCCUUGUAUAAGGUGGUCGGCCCUAUACAAGUGCAGGGUGUGGAGUUGAAUGACCAGUCCAACUCCAAAGGGUUUAAAUCAUUGAUCAUUAAUAUUUAUCCUCUUUAAAACAAAAAUGUUACAUACAAAAAUAAAAAUAAAACAAAACAUACAUGUACUAGCUAGUAUUAAAUAAAAAAUACAUGAUAUACACUAUAUUUACAAUACCGGUAUCUAUCUUUUUAC
rnacentral:lncRNA from 1 species